GACGAACGCUGGCGGCGUGCUUAACACAUGCAAGUCGAACGGUGAAGCGCCUUCCUUUUUGGUGGGUGUGGAUGAGUGGCGAACGGGUGAGUAACACGUGAGUAACCUGCCCCCUUCUUCUGGAUAACCGCAUGAAAGUGUGGCUAAUACGGGAUAUUCUGGGUCUGUCGCAUGAUGGGUCUGGGAAAGAUAUUGCUUCGGUGGGGGAUGGGCUCGCGGCCUAUCAGCUUGUUGGUGGGGUGAUGGCCUACCAAGGCGGUGACGGGUAGCCGGCCUGAGAGGGUGGACGGUCACACGGGGACUGAGACACGGCCCAGACUCCUACGGGAGGCGGCAGUGGGGAAUAUUGCACAAUGGGCGCAAGCCUGAUGCAGCGACGCCGCGUGAGGGAUGGAGGCCUUCGGGUUGUGAACCUCUUUCGCCAGUGAAGCAGGCCUGCCUCGUUUGUGGGUGGGUUGACGGUAGCUGGAUAAGAAGCGCCGGCUAACUACGUG
rnacentral:rRNA from 1 species